rnacentral:lncRNA from 1 species
UUGCAUCAGCUUGCCGCACCAGCUGGUUCCAUCAGCUCGCUGUCUUGCUCGUUUUCUUUAGGAGGCACUGGGAACCGAACCUGGGACCUCCCAUGUGGGACGGAGGCGCCCAACUGCCUGAACCACAUCUGCUUCCCUGUAUUACCAUUCUGAAAUGGAGAAGCCAUUCUGCACAUACCUUUGAGCUCCUGCCACUCUUUACUACCUUUUCUUCCCCCCAAAGGAAAAACACUUCACCCAAGCCUUGAGACAAAAUCGGAAAGGUCAGAUGGCACUUGGUACCGUAUUAUAAGGGAGACAAAGGGAACAUUUCCCUGGAGGAACUGGGAGUUAGAGGUACAGUCUUGAAAAUAAACACGGC